AUUGAACGCUGGCGGCGUGCCUAAUACAUGCAAGUCGAACGCAGUGGGGACGGGUGAGUAACACGUGGGUAACCUCCCAUCAGAGGGGAUAACACUUGGAAACAGGUGCUAAACCGAUACUGAUGGAUGGACCCGCGGUGCAUUAGCUAGUUGGUAAGGUAACGGCUCACCAAUGCCACGAUGGAUAGGCGACCUUAGAGGGUGAUCGGCCACAAGGGGACUGGAAACCGGUCCAAACUCCUACGGUGGGCAGCCGGAGGGAAUCUUCGGCAAUGGACGAAAGUCUGACCGAGCAACGCCGCGGGAGUGAAGAAGGUUUUUGGAUCGUAAAACUCUGUUGUUAGAGAAGCGGUAUCGAACCAGAAAGCCACGGCUAACUACGUGCCAGCAGCCGCGGUAAUUC
rnacentral:rRNA from 1 species